rnacentral:tRNA from 1 species
GACUUGAUAAGAACGGGGCUUAAACCCGCCUG